rnacentral:rRNA from 1 species
AGCAUAUCAAUAAGCGGAGGAAAAGAAACCAACAGGGAUUGCCUUAGUAACGGCGAGUGAAGCGGCAACAGCUCAAAUUUGAAAGCUGGCCCUUUCAGGGUCCGCAUUGUAAUUUGUAGAGGAUGAUUCGGCGAGGGCUCCCGCCUAAGUCCCCUGGAACGGGGCGUCAUAGAGGGUGAGAAUCCCGUAUGCGGUGGGCUGCCUUAGCCAUGUGAAUCUCCUUCGACGAGUCGAGUUGUUUGGGAAUGCAGCUCUAAAUGGGAGGUAAAUUUCUUCUAAAGCUAAAUACCGGCCAGAGACCGAUAGCGCACAAGUAGAGUGAUCGAAAGAUGAAAAGCACUUUGGAAAGAGAGUUAAAAAGUACGUGAAAUUGUUGAAAGGGAAGCGCUUGCAACCAGACUUGUCCGCAGUUGCUCAGCCGGUCUCCUGACCGGCGUACUCUUCUGCGGCCAGGCCAGCAUCAGUUCGGGCGGUCGGAUAAAGACCUCGGGAAUGUAGCUCCUCUCGGGGAGUGUUAUAGCCCGGGGUGGAAUGCGGCCAGCCUGGACUGAGGAUCUCGCUUCGGCAAGGAUGCUGGCGUAAUGGUUGUAAGCGGCCCGUCUUGAAACACGGACCAAGGAGUCUAACAUCUAUGCGAGUGUUUGGGUGUCAAACCCAUACGCGUAAUGAAAGUGAACGGAGGUGGGAACCCGCAAGGGUGCACCAUCGGCCGAUCCUGAUGUCUUCGGAUGGAUUUGAGCAAGAGCAUAGCUGUUGGGACCCGAAAGAUGGUGAACUAUGCCUGAAUAGGGUGAAGCCAGAGGAAACUCUGGUGGAGGCUCGCAGCGGUUCUGACGUGCAAAUCGAUCGUCAAAUUUGGGUAUAGGGGCGAAAGACUAAUCGAACCAUCCAAUUUGCUUUUCCGGCGAUU